rnacentral:rRNA from 1 species
UACAGAGGUCUCAACCGUUGUUCGGAUUCAUUGGGCGUAAAGGGUGCGUAGGCGGUCGCGUAAGUCGGAUGUGAAAUCUCGGGGCUCAACCCCGAAACUGCAUUCGAUACUGCGUGGCUAGGGUACUGGAGAGGAAACUGGAAUUUACGGUGUAGCAGUGAAAUGCGUAGAUAUCGUAAGGAAGACCAGUGGCGAAGGCGAGUUUCUGGACAGUUACCGACGCUGAGGCACGAAGGCCAGGGGAGCAAACGGG